rnacentral:lncRNA from 1 species
AGCAACUAUAUUGCUCUUAUUACUGCUAAACUCGACCAUUUUUGAUAAACCUCAACUGCUUAUCAGCUAUUGUCUGGAAAGACCCUUCCUUAGAGGAGCUGGGCAACCAGGUAGCAAAGUGGAUAAAGUGCCAGGCCUGAAGUCAGAAAGAUUCAACUUCCUGAGUUCAAAUCUGGCCUUAAAUACUGACUGACUUUGUGACCCUAGGCAAGUUAUUUAACCUUACUGCCUCAAUUUUCUCAUCUGUAAAAUGAGCUGGAGAAGGAAAUGGCAAACCACUCCAGUAUUUUUGCCAAGAAAACCCCAAAUGGGGUUACACAGUCAGGUACAUCUGAAAUUACUGAACAACAAAUGGGAGCCAGGUGCUUAGUGGAUAGGCACUGAACUUGAAGUCAAAAAGAUCUGAGUUCUAAUCAACCCUCAAAUAUUUACUAGCUAUGAGACUUAACCUCUUUAGGUUCAGUUUCCUUAUUUGUAAAAUGAGGAUAAUAACAACACCUACCUCACAGCAUUGUUGUGACAAAUGAGGUGAUAUAUGCAAAGAGACCAAAGUUAUCACUCACUUUGAGGUUUCAGCUAAUUCAGUCCUGGGCUGAAUGAAGAUAAGUAUAGUGUUCAAAACUAGGGAAAUGCUUGUCUUAUGUACUCUCUUUCUUGGACAGGCAAGAAUAAUACUAUUACUGUACAUCUAUUUUUGGAAAAAAACAUUUCAGAAAACAUCUGUAAACUGGAGAACCUCCAUAAGAUGUCAAGUAAGAUGGCGAGGGUCCUUAGUUCAUGAGAUAAUUUGGAGAGCUCAUUGUAUAGAGUGUUGGACCCGAGUCAAGAAAACUUUAGAUAUUAAGAAGCCAUGAAAUUAUCACAACCAAACAGAAAAUGGGAGCAGAAUAAACAAAGAACCUGGGUAUCA